GCUUUCGUAGCUCAGUUGGGUUAGAGCACCCGUUUAGUAAGCGGGAAGGUCUUGAGUUCGACUCUCAACGAAAGCA